rnacentral:lncRNA from 1 species
ACUCUGACGUCACCACCAGUGAUAUGGUCGGGGCGGCGAUUCUUCGAAUAUGAAAGUAUGCCGUUACGAAGAGUAAACCAACGGGAUCUCCAACCUUUAUGGUAAUUAGUCCAUUUGUACAAGAUUCCGGCAACAUCGGAUGCAUUAAUGAUGUCAGAUCCAUUAAUAUUGGAGUAAACUACGGCAGAGCCAGUCCGUAAUAACGUCGGCUCCGGCGACCUUGUACAAGAUUCCGGCAACAUCAGAUGCAUUAAUGAUGUCAGAUCCAUUAAUAUUGGAGUAAACUACGGCGGAGCCAGUCCGUAAUAACGUCGGCUCCGGCGACUGGUCUCCGAUCUCUGAUGUACUCUCUAAUGUUAUACAGCAAAGU